AACCCCUCCUACGGACGCGUCAAAAUACAGACGUACCGCGGGCCCAGCAAGGGUCACGGCUACGACGUGUUCGCGCCCUGGGGCUAUUACGUCACGCAGCCCGAGGAUGAUAAGGGCUACGGUUACCACUGAGCCGCGGACGUCAUGACGUCAGAGCAGGAUAAGAUGAUGUGCCCACUAGUCUUUUCAUCAGCCGGGCUCUUCCGCGAUCCGAAGUCACCCCCGGCCUCUAGGCCGACGUGACCUUGUGCGAACCUUGGGCGACCCCUGCU